UACGAAGGGGGCUAGCGUUGCUCGGAAUUACUGGGCGUAAAGAGCUCGUAGGCGGUUUGUCGCGUCGGCUGUGAAAACCUGGGGGCUCAACCCCGGGCCUGCAGCCGAUACGGGCAAACUAGAAUUCGGUAGGGGAGACUGGAAUUCCUGGUGUAGCGGUGAAAUGCGUAGAUAUCGAGAGGAACACCGGUGGCGAAGGCGGCCUUCUGGACAGUGACUGACGCUGAGACGCGAAAGCGUGGGGAGCAAACAGG
rnacentral:rRNA from 1 species